rnacentral:lncRNA from 1 species
ACAGAUGAGAAAACUGAAACAUUGAGAAGUCAAGUAACUUGCUCAAGAUUAUAUAGCUAGUGCAUAGAGGGGCAAAGAUUUGAACCAGAUUGCCUGGUUCCACAUGCACUUUAACCUGCUUUAUUUAGGCUUUUGAAAGCAACCUAAAUAGCUAACAUUGACUAAAUAAGUGCAGUAUACCUGGUCUGUGUGACAUUUUGCAGGUAUUAAAAAGUGAACAUUCUGAACCCUUUUAGCAAUAUGGCAAAUACUUCUGAUGUGAUGUAUGCAUAUAAAUAUGAUCGAAAGCAAAUAUCCCAAAAGGUUGAUGGCAGUUAUGUCAGGUUAGUAGCACAAUAGUUUCUUUUCUCAUUUUCUCACAUUUUUAGUAAUGUGUGUUGCCUAUAUUAAAAAACAAAUAUUAAAAAGUAGUAGCAUGUAUUAGAUCAGAGCAUGGGCUCAGACUGCCUGUGUCAUCUCUUAUUAGAUGUAUGACCAGGGACAAGUUAUUGACCUUUUGUUUCUAAGUCUCUAAGUUUAUCCUGUAAAAUGAAGAUAAUUGUAGUAACUACCUAAUAACAUGAUUGUAAGGAUUAAAUUAUUUAGAACACUAUUUGUUACUUGGAAAAUAUGCAAUCAUAAGCUAUUUUGUUGUUAUUGUUAUUUUACUACCAAAGCUUAUUGUUUCAGAGCCCCUAGGUGACCAGGCAAAAUGGCAGUUCCUUCCAGCUGGUCCUCAGAUGGGCACAUCUAUUAGCCUCUGCUCUUGUAAGAAGUUAGCUGCAGAACCCACAUGUGAAUCCUUGUAGGACUCUGGAGAAGAUCAAAUGGGAGCUUAGAUGUGGAAGCUCUUUGGAAACCAAGAAACACUCUGAAAAUGAAAAGGGUGGAAGAGUAAACUGUUCCUGUUUCUCCAUCUUGACAGGAAGCAGAAGUUCUCCUUAGCUGAUUUUUCUUCUUGCCUUAUACUGGGUUCUUUAACACCAGAACAAAAAUAAAUAAAUAAAAGAAUCUUCCAGAAAUUCAUGAAGAGACUUCAGGUCAGGAAAGCCUGAACUUUCUCAUCCAACACCCGUUCAAGUCGGAGGAUGCUGAUUAAUUCAUGAUGGAAAGGUAUCAAUUUCACAGCCCAGACCUCUACAUUCUUGAAAUGCUCUUCUCAUGGGAGACAUUAAAUAAGCUUUGAAUUAACUGAAUGUACAGGGUGUACCAUGAACAAUUCUGACAUGUGAUUUAAUCUAUGUGGGACUACAUUUUAAAUACAUUUGGGAAGGAUUGAACAAUGAAGUGGAGCCCAUCAAUAUUGGUACUGAAAAUGAGACAUGCCAUGACACCCAGGAUGCAGCUGUAGGAACACCACUGGGUCCCUGGAUGUCAUGUAAGCCCUUAAGUAAAAGUGCCAUCAAAUGAUUUCUCAGAAAUUAUAAAGAAACAAAAGGACCAUAAACAAGAUAAGGUGGCAUGAGGAAACAUUACAAGUACCUUUCAGAGCUGACUGGCAAAGAAACUCCUGAGGUGACGGUUCUACCCCAAUAUUACUUCUUCGAAGAGCAACCUAACUGACCUUGUAUUGAAGACAGCGUAACCCCCAAGAGGAAAGGAGCUUGGAGCCCUGAAUCAGAGUAGAAGACAGGCUGAAUGAAUACCAGCCUUGGACUGUUGUGUGAAUGAAAAACAAGUUUUGAGAUUUGUGUGGUUUAUUUAUUAUAGUUACUGUUAUUAUUAAAGUUUUUCACUGCUUUACUCUCAG